AUUGAACGCUGGCGGCAGGCUUAACACAUGCAAGUCGAGCGGAGAGAGGUAGCUUGCUACUGAUCUUAGCGGCGGACGGGUGAGUAAUGCUUAGGAAUCUGCCUAUUAGUGGGGGACAACAUUUCGAAAGGAAUGCUAAUACCGCAUACGUCCUACGGGAGAAAGCAGGGGAUCUUCGGACCUUGCGCUAAUAGAUGAGCCUAAGUCGGAUUAGCUAGUUGGUGGGGUAAAGGCCUACCAAGGCGACGAUCUGUAGCGGGUCUGAGAGGAUGAUCCGCCACACUGGGACUGGAACACGGCCCAGACUCCUACGGGAGGCAGCAGUGGGGAAUAUUGGACAAUGGGCGCAAGCCUGAUCCAGCCAUGCCGCGUGUGUGAAGAAGGCCUUAUGGUUGUAAAGCACUUUAUGCGAGGAGGAGGCUACUUUAGAUAAUACCUAGAGAUAGUGGACGUUACUCGCAGAAUAAGCACCGGCUAACUCUGUGCCAGCCGCCGCAGUAACAC
rnacentral:rRNA from 1 species